rnacentral:rRNA from 1 species
GACGAGCGCUGGCGGCGUGCUUAACACAUGCCAGUCGAACGGUGAAGCGCCUUCCUUUUUGGUGGGUGUGGAUGAGUGGCGAACGGGUGAGUAACACGUGAGUAACCUGCCCCCUUCUUCUGGAUAACCGCAUGAAAGUGUGGCUAAUACGGGAUAUUCUGGGUCUGUCGCAUGAUGGGUCUGGGAAAGAUAUUGUUUCGGUGGGGGAUGGGCUCGCGGCCUAUCAGCUUGUUGGUGGGGUGAUGGCCUACCAAGGCGGUGACGGGUAGCCGGCCUGAGAGGGUGGACGGUCACACUGGGACUGAGACACGGCCCAGACUCCUACGGGAGGCAGCAGUGGGGAAUAUUGCACAAUGGGCGCAAGCCUGAUGCAGCGACGCCGCGUGAGGGAUGGAGGCCUUCGGGUUGUGAACCUCUUUCGCCAGUGAAGCAGGCCUGCCUCGUUUGUGGGUGGGUUGACGGUAGCUGGAUAAGAAGCGCCGGCUAACUACGUG